GUAGUAAUUUUGCUUAUUUGCACGCUACUGAUCGUCAUUUUGACCCUUUCUCUUGUACUUGUCAACACUUGUGUGUUUUAACUCUAGUGUUUGAGCUUGCAUCCUAUGUCGAUGGAUCUUGUUUUUUGAGGACAGUAUUGUUUCCAGCACCAUAUUGUUGGCUGAGUUUUUGAUUUUCCUCUCAGCAUAUCUUCCCUGGAUAGGUGGAGUAGAUCAAGAAAUAGAAGAUGAAGGCAAUGAAGAUCUAGACCUUACUUAAAGAUGAAUUUUGAAUUGCUAUAGAUGAAUGUUCUAGGAAUAUUUUGUUGUCAACAUUUUGAAACUAACUAUCUUGAAAUGUAUUAAACUUAUGCACUUGGGGUAGAACAUUUGCUUUUAUGGAUA